UACGGGGGGGGCAAGCGUUGUUCGGAAUUACUGGGCGUAAAGCGCACGUAGGCGGAUUGUUAAGUUAGGGGUGAAAUCCCGGGGCUCAACCCCGGAACUGCCUUUAAUACUGGCAAUCUCGAGUCCGAGAGAGGUGAGUGGAAUUCCGAGUGUAGAGGUGAAAUUCGUAGAUAUUCGGAGGAACACCAGUGGCGAAGGCGGCUCACUGGCUCGGUACUGACGCUGAGGUGCGAAAGCGUGGGGAGCAAACAGG
rnacentral:rRNA from 1 species